GCACGACCCAGCCACGUCGACGACAACCAUCAACCCAGCCGCUGCCGCGCCGCCGUCCCCGGACCGCCGGCCGCCCACUCUUCCUCUUCUUUUGGCGGAGAAUUCUCUUUAGGCGACUUUUGAAAGUGUUAAGGUGGCCUAUCAGUUUGUUUACACAAGUCUCUAAGGAUCAAUAAGCGUUGCCCAUCUACAGGUUUGAAGAUGAUGCAUCAUUGGGAUCGGGAUUAGAGAGCUUGUAGUUCUAUUCGUUUAAUUAAGUGAUUUAAUUUGUUAACUUGGUUUUGAAAUUUGUCGUACUAUUCGUAUUUCCUUAAUUCAGUUAAUUGGUUUGGACCUAAUAUGUAAUAGAUUAUUUAUGAACCUAAAAGUUAGUUUCAUGUUUUCCGCUGCAAAAUUCUGAAUAAGCCGUAACGUUUUCACACGGGCGAUAAUACUUUGAUAAUUCCCUACAGUUAUAUUUAAAAAGAGGUUAUUUUAGAAAAUGGGAAUUGUUGAGGUGUUACAAAGUGGUAUUUUUGAGCUAAAGGUUUUACUGACAUUUCGUGUCUACCUUUUAUAUCUUAGGCGCCUAACCAACUAAUUAGUUACGUAAAAGUAAUUUCGCACUAGUGAAUAAAUUUAAAGUUAUUAGCUAGAAAUGUUUGAAUUUAUUUUAAUAUUGACUCUUGAAUCGUGCUUUGAAAUACGUUUUUGGUUAUGCGAAUUAAUGUAUUUCGAUUCUUUUGAAAUUCAAAUUAAUAUUUCAAAAAAAAAAAAAAAAAAAAAAAAUUAUACUGCUGCUGCUGCUACAGUACCGUAAAAAAAAAAAAAAAAAAAAAAAAAUUUAAUUAUUUAUCCUUUUAUAAUUAUUCUUUUAAUCCAUCCAAUUCUUAUAAAUCAUUCUUGUUUUAUUCUUUUAUGCUUCAAUGUUUGAUAUACUAUGAUUAUUUUGAAAGUUGGGUAGUAUAGGAAAGGGCAUAUAGAAUAGAAUCAUUGUGUCUGCAUUAUGUUUACAUGAUUGUAAUUUCUCUACCUGCUAACUGUCGUGUCUUUCCUAUGCUUUGCGAUUGAUAUACAUUCUUACUCAUUGUGUAUUGUGGGAUCAUACGGUAAGUGAGAGUACUAAUUACUAACAUAGAAACUAUGUUUAAUUGUUAUAGAUCUCUAAUCAUGUCUGGCAUGGAAGGAAAUAGAAUAGGGAGCAACUCUAACCCUAUUAUUCUAAGCGAUGAUGAAAAUGAAAUGGAUUACGAGUCUGACAUUAACAGUUACACCAGCCAUGAACUUGUUCUGCGUCGAGUUUUAAGAGCAGGAGAACCUGAUAGUGAUGAUGAAGCCCUUCGUGAAUUUGAUCGUGCUAGAGGGCAAACUAGGGUCGAUAUUUAUCAAGCUGUUUUGAGACCUGAAAGCGAUUCGGAGCCUGAGUUUGAGCAUGAAUUUGGGUUUGAGUUCGAACAAGAAUUUGAGUUUGAGUUCGAACAUGAAUUAGAGGUUGAACCUGAGUUUGAGUUUGAGCCCGAACAUGAACCUG